AUUUUGCUACAAUAAACAUAUGCAUACAAGUGUAUUUUUGAUAUAAUUAAUUCUUUUUCUUUGGGUAGAUAUGCAGUAGUGGGAUCGCUUCACUGAAUGGUAGAUCUACUACUUUUAGUUCUUUAAGAAAUCUCGGCUUUUUUCCAAGGAAGCUGGUGUUGCCGAGAUUGCCAAAAUGCUUUGGAGUUUUUAACUGAAUCUAAGAAAAGUCCAAAAUAGAUUUGAGACUGUAAAAACAGAAACUGCAGCAAGGGGGAUUCAGUGCCAAUGCAUCAACAAAAAAGACAGCCAAAGUUAGUGGAAGGAAAUCUUUCUGUUUUCGUGUUCCCCACGGAGCUCAUAUUUUAUGCAGAUGAUCAGUCAACACAUAAGCAAGUGUUGACACUGUACAAUCCCUAUGAGUUUGCCUUAAAGUUCAAAGUUUUGUGUACUACUCCAAAUAAGUAUGUUGUCGUUGAUGCUGCAGGUGCAGUAAAGCCUCAGUGUUGUGUGGAUAUUGUAAUUCGUCAUAGAGAUGUUCGAUCCUGUCACUAUGGUGUAAUAGACAAAUUCCGUCUUCAAGUUUCUGAGCAAAGCCAGAGGAAGGCUUUGGGAAGAAAAGAGGUUGUUGCUACUCUUCUCCCAUCAGCAAAAGAACAACAAAAGGAAGAAGAGGAAAAAAGAAUAAAGGAACAUUUAACUGAAAGUUUAUUUUUUGAGCAGUCAUUUCAACCAGAAAACAGAGCUGUCUCCUCAGGACCUAGUUUACUAACUGUCUUCCUGGGAGUGGUGUGCAUUGCAGCCCUGAUGCUGCCUACAAUGGGGGAUGUGGAAUCGCUGGUGCCUCUCUACCUCCACUUAAGUGUGAAUCAAAAAUUAGUGGCUGCUUAUAUCUUAGGUCUUAUCACAAUGGCCAUACUUAGAACAUGAGCAAGGAUUUCAGUUGACUUCUGAAGUAAAUCUAUCUUGAAAAUAUGAAUGUGGACUGCCUUUUAUCUCUAUUUCACUCCAUUAACAUGCUACAAACUAUUGAAUGAUUUCAAGUAAUUGCAGAUGUAUAAUAUAUAUUUUAAAUUAUAAUUUAAUUUGAAGGACUGCAGAACAUUAUUUUACAGACAGCAAGGAUGCUUCUGAGUGACACCUAGGAAAUUAUUUGAAGAAAUUCUUUUUAUACCUAUACCUGUUGUGCAAGAGACUUUAAAACAUUUGUUAUUUGCUCACCCUUUUUUUCCAGUUCACUUUGAUUGCUAGGGGUCAUGUACGCUUCAAAGUUACAGGACUAAAAGAACAAACUGACCGGCCUAAAACUAAAAUGACAUUUAUUCCCUAGCUACAAACGUCAGCGUUAUUAUGUUAAUCAUACCUUACCCUCUAUCAUUAUAAGCGGUUGCCAUGGUGUUUCUAAAAGUAAGUGUUUUACCAUUAAUGUGUAGAGGGGAACAAAGCAUAAAGUACUAAGGGAUCAUGCUUAUCCUAGGGUCUCACAGAAGACAGGACAUAUUAAUUAAUCUUGUGAAUUACAGAAUGGGUUGUGGUCCAGACACCAAGAAUCAUAGGGGUUUUUUAAAAAAACCUAAUGGAAGUAGGGUGACCUCUCUCUUUGGUCUAAGAGUUCUAAAGGAAGGUAGGCAUCUGUUUAAUUAGUUGGUUCACCCUGGCUUUACCUCUGGUUAAUGCUUUGUGUUAACAGGAAGGAAAAAUCACUUUAUCUUUUCUUCCAAGCCCCUUCCCCACCUGACUUGCCCAGACUGGGAUUACCAGAGACCAGGUGAUUUAUGUGGAGAUGAUUUUUCACCUUUAAACUCUAAGCCAAGUGUAGGAAACUCUUCAUAGCUGUGUCGAUUUUAUAUCAGUCACUGAGACUUUAAGUUUUUAUUUAUUAUUAAGACAACUUUGCCAAAAAAAAUCCCCUAAGCACAACUAUUUACAUUUCUUUAUAGCCUCUUCUGAUCUCUAACACAUAUAUGCAGUUUUAACUGUUACUGUCAUAGUAACUGAUCUUUUGUCUAAUGAUUUUUACCUGAAAGCACAAUGCAUUAAGAGUCUCUUGAAAAUCAUCUUUCAGAUCUUUUUACAGAAUGAAUUUAUGCACUGCUACAAACACAAAUGUAUGCCUGAGGUUGGUUUUUGCAGAAAAUAGUCUCCGCUUCUAAAAACUUCUAUGUCUAGUCUUCCAUAGGAAAUCCUCAGUGUUUAACCAUGUGAGGAGCCUAAGUCAUUAAACGGAUCAUGUCUGUACAUUGUGUAAUGAAUGAAAAGCACAUAAAUGUAAUCUACUUUGAACUUUGUAAAAAUUAUGUGUGGAGGCUAUUCUUAUUUAUCCAUCUCAAGUCCUGUGUGUGCACGUGUGCACAAGUGCACAUACGUGUAUGUAUGUGUGUAUAAUAACACAUUGUAAAGAACAGAAAUUACUUUAAAAAAUAAACAGAAAUGGAGCCCUGA